rnacentral:ncRNA from 1 species
UUGAAUGACUCGGGGUGCCCCUUUUUACAAAGGGCUGAGAAAUACCCGUACCACCUGAUCUGGAUAAUGCCAGCGUAGUCCGGCGAUUAUCCUCAUAU